AUGGAGGGAUGGAUGGUUGGUUACCUCGUGGCCGCCUGCCACUUCGGAGGUCUUUAACCGAAUGAUUUGUCGUUGUUCACUCUAAACCAAAAUAUUAAGCAAUUAAAACACCAUAACCAAUAAAU